GAGGCAGCAGCUAAGAAUCUUCCGCAAUGGGCGCAAGCCUGACGGAGCGACGCCGCGUGAACGAUGAAGGCCGUGAGGUUGUAAAGUUCUUUUCGGGAGGGGGAAUGAGCCUGCCAGGCAAUGGGCGGGCGAUGACGUGAAUCCCGGAAUAAGCCCCGGCUAACUACGUGCCAGCAGCCGCGGUAACACGUAGGGGGCGAGCGUUGUUCGGAAUCAUUGGGCGUAAAGGGCGUGCAGGCGGCCGCCAAAGUCCGGCGUGAAAGACCCAGGCUCAACCUGGGGGGUGCGCCGGAUACUGGGCGGCUUGAGUACAGGAGGGGAUGGCGGAAUUCCAGGUGUAGGGGUGAAAUCUGUAGAUAUCUGGAGGAACACCGAUGGCGAAGGCAGCCGUCUGGCCAUGUACUGACGCUGAGGCGCGAAGGUGCGGGGAGCAAACAGGUUUAGAUACCCUGGUAGUCCGCACAGUAAACGAUGUGCACCAGGCGGCGGGGGCAACCUCGCUGCCGCAGUCAACGCAUUAA
rnacentral:rRNA from 1 species